rfam:Ictidomys tridecemlineatus contig010905, whole genome shotgun sequence.
GGGGAGGUGGCUCGGUGGUAGAGCACUUGCCAAGCAGGUGAGAGGUCCUGGGUUCAAUCCCCAGCACUGCCA